rnacentral:rRNA from 1 species
GGCAUGCAAGUCGAGCGAGGCCAGUUUGUAGCAAUACGAGCUGAGUCGAGCGGCGCAAGGGGCAGUAAUGCAUGGGUAACGUACCUCCGGGUCGCGGAUAGCCAUGGGAAACUAUGGGUAAUACGCGAUAAAGCCGAGAAGCCAAAGACUUGCCGCCCGGAGAGCGGCUCAUGUCGUAUUAGCUAGUUGGUGGGGUAACGGCCCACCAAGGCGAAGAUGCGUAGCGGGUGUGAGAGCACGACCCGCGCCACUGGCACUGAGACACUGGCCAGACACCUACGGGUGGCUGCAGUCGAGGAUCUUCGGCAAUGAGCGCAAGCUUGACCGAGCGACGCCGCGUGGAGGAUGAAGGCCUUCGGGUUGUAAACUCCUUUUGUGGGGGAGGAAAUUUCUGACCUAUCCCAUGAAUAAGCACGGGCUAAGUUCGUGCCAGCAGCCGCGGUAAGACGAACCGUGCGAACGUUGUUCGGAAUCACUGGGCUUAAAGGGCGCGUAGGUGGCUAGCCAAGUCGGGGGUGAAAUCUUUCGGCUCAACCGGAAAAUUGCCCCCGAUACUGGAAGGCUCGAGGGAGAUAGAGGCGACGGGAACUACCAGUGGAGCGGUGAAAUGCGUUGAUAUUGGUAGGAACGCCAGAGCCGAAGGGGCGUCGCUGGAUCUCUUCUGACACUGAGGCGCGAAAGCCAGGGGAGCAAAC